GCCCCGAUAGCUCAGUCGGUAGAGCGCCGGACUGUUAAUCCGUAGGUCCCUGGUUCGAGCCCAGGUCGGGGAGCCA
rnacentral:tRNA from 1 species